rnacentral:lncRNA from 1 species
GAAAAUCAUUGACGUUUAACGAUGCUUUUUCGGUGUUUAGACGAGGGGGAUUGAGAGGGGACUUUAAUUCAGUAAGUGCAGAGGAAUCCAACAAAAGAUUUGAUGAUUUCAUUAAGAAAAUCAACCGUGAGAGAAUGUUGCAGAGGCAAGAAUCUGAUCAGCGUGCCUUUAACAAUAUGCUAAACCGGGCUCGUUAAUUAACUCAGAUUGUUUACUUGUUUAGGUUGAUAGAAAUAGUAUAUAUAUGAGUACUAAUGUCGUACAGAUCAAAGCCAUCCCACGAAGAGAUUUUUAUUUUUAACUACUAACUGUAUUACUACUACAACUACUACUGUUUGCAGUUUUUUUUUUCUGCGGGUGUUCGCAAUAUAUUUAGAUCACAUUAUUUAUAUUUCAGUUGGCAUAUAACAAUGUUCAAACUUAAAGUCAGAAAAAUAUAAAUUCCUCUAACCUUAAAUGUUGCAAUAUUUAGAACACAAUCCUUAGUAUUGAUUAAAACAAUUCUCCAAAGAAAAUCAACCAUGAGAGAAUGUUGCAGAGGCAAGAAUCUGAUCAGCGUGCCUUUAAUAAUAUGCUAAACCGGGCUCGUUAAUUAAAUAGGAUUGUUUCUUUACUAGCUUAGGUUGAUAGAAAUAGUUUAUACUAUUAUGACUACUCUUUGUUCAUUAAUGUUGUACAGAGAAAUUAAGCCAUCCCACGAAGAGUUUUUCAUUUUGACUAGUAACUGUAAUAGUAGUACUACUACUGCUACAUUUUUUUUUCUUUUCUUUUUCUGUGGUGUUCGCAACGUCUUUAGAAUUUAGAUCAUAUUAUUUUCAUUUCAGUUGGCAUGUAACAAUGUUCAAACUUAAGUAAGAAAGACAUAAAUUACUCUAACCUUAAAUGUUGCAAUAAUUAGAACAAAAUCCUU